rnacentral:rRNA from 1 species
GACGAACUGUCCAAACGUUGUUCGGAAUCACUGGGCUUAAAGGGCGCGUAGGCGGUCAACCAAGUCAGGGGUGAAAUCCUGCAGCUUAACUGUAGAAGUGCCUUUGAUACUGGUUGUCUGGAGGGAGAUAGGGGUGUGUGGGAACUUCCAGUGGAGCGGUGAAAUGCGUUGAUAUUGGAAGGAACGCCGGAGGCGAAAGCGACGCACUGGAUCUCUUCUGACGCUGAGGCGCGAAAGCUAGGGGAGCAAACGGG